AUUGAACGCUGGCGGCAGGCCUAACACAUUCAAGUCGAGCGGAUGAUGGGAGCUUGCUCCUUGAUUCAGCGGCGGACGGGUGAGUAAUGCCUAGGAAUCUGCCUGGUAGUGGGGGACAACGUUUCGAAAGGAACGCUAAUACCGCAUACGUCCUACGGGGGAAAGCAGGGGACCUUCGGGCCUUGCGCUAUCAGAUGAGCCUAGGUCGGAUUAGCUAGUUGGUGGGGUAAUGGCUCACCAAGGCGACGAUCCGUAACUGGUCUGAGAGGAUGAUCAGUCACACUGGAACUGAGACUAGGUCCAGACUCCUACGGGAGGCAGCAUGGGCGAAUAUUGGACAAUGGGCGAGAGCCUGAUCCAGCCAUGCCGCGUGUGUACAGAAGGGGUUCAGAGUGUAAAGCACUUUAAGUUGGGAGGAAGGGCAGAAAGCUAAUUCCUUGCUGUUCUGACCUUACCGGCAGAAGAAGUCGCGUCUAACACUGCGCCAGCCGCCCCGGUAACAC
rnacentral:rRNA from 1 species